UACGUAGGGGGCGAGCGUUGUCCGAAGUUACUGGGCGUAAAGCGCGCGUAGGCGGCUUGUUAAGUGGCCGGUGAAAUCCCCAGGCUCAACCUGGGGUAGUCUGGUCAUACUGGCAGGCUGGAGUGCGGGAGAGGAGAGCGGAACUCCUGGUGUAGCGGUGAUAUGCGUAGAGAUCAGGAAGAACACCCGUGGCGAAGGCGGCUCUCUGGACCGCAACUGACGCUGAGGCGCGAAAGCCAGGGGAG
rnacentral:rRNA from 1 species